rnacentral:rRNA from 1 species
GAUGAACGCUGGCGGCGUGCCUAAUACAUGCAAGUCGAGCGAACGGACGAGAAGCUUGCUUCUCUGAUGUUAGCGGCGGACGGGUGAGUAACACGUGGAUAACCUACCUAUAAGACUGGGAUAACUUCGGGAAACCGGAGCUAAUACCGGAUAAUAUUUUGAACCGCAUGGUUCAAAAGUAAAAGACGGUCUUGCUGUCACUUAUAGAUGGAUCCGCGCUGCAUUAGCUAGUUGGUAAGGUAACGGCUUACCAAGGCAACGAUGCAUAGCCGACCUGAGAGGGUGAGCGGCAACACGGGAACUGAGACACGGUCCAGAGUACUACGGGAGGCAGCAGAAGGGAAUCUUCCGCAAUGGGCGAAAGCUUUAAGGAGCAACGACGCGGGAGUGAUGAAGGUCUUCGGAUCGUAAAACUCUGUUAUUAGGGAAGAACAAAUGUGUAAGUAACUAUGCACGGCUUGACGGUACCUAAUCAGAAAGCCACGGCUAACUACGUG